rfam:Aedes albopictus isolate Foshan contig106611, whole genome shotgun sequence.
UGUUCUGUGGCUUAGUUGGUUAAAGCACCGGUCUAGCGAAUACGGAGUCGUGGGUUCAAAUCCCACCAGAACGC